UCUGACUCACGGAUCUUGUCUGAGCUCGUGGAUCUUGUCUGAGCUCGGUCCCCAUCUAUUGAAGCCUGACUAUUAAGCACUGUGAUAGUCAAUAGCCAUUUCUAUUCAAAUCACAGUGGAGGGAUUGACCCAGGCUCCACCGCCAGGUUUGUCAUGGGCUCCACCACUGGAAAUCAUGGUGGAUGCCUCUUCAGUAAAAUGGCCAAAAAAGAAGAACGUGGAAUAUUUAGGAGACAGCAGAACUCUUAGCUCCUUCUCCAGCACCAUGUCUGCCUGCAUGCCACCAUGAUGACAAAGGACUAAACCUCUGAAACAGUUCCAGUUUUCCCCACACUGUGGCAUUGUUCAUCUACUUGGGACCAUACCCUUGAAGACCAUUGAGUCACCCUCCUUCAGAAGCCAUCGACUGUUGAUAGCGCCUUAGUUAGGGGUGGGGGCUAAUAAACCACCUCUACCUCUAUGCUAUUGUGUUGACUGGCUU